CGGGUUUGAUGGUUAUGACGUCAUAGGCAGGGUCUUUAUUUGCUCGUUCUUUUUCUCUAUCCUUCACUUUGCACUUGUUCGUCCCAGAGCCCAGAUUUAUUCUCAGAAACAAAGAAACUAGAACAAUAAUGACCAGUGAAACUGUCACCAUCGAAGCCUUGGAGGCGGUGGUCGACCGCCUUUUCAUCAACAUGACCCCAGAGGAGUGGAUGGGACUGGCAGCUGGAAACCCAGCAGCCAGCACCACCUGCACUCUGGGGGAGAUUUAUGGAGACAUCCUGGAACUAUUUUCAUCCAACGUUCUGGAAAAUCUCCACAAGCAAACAUUCACUAUUGAGUCAUUGGAGGCGGCCGUGGGCAACAAAGUCCCAGAAACCUUUGCUGGAAUCAUGGACGUCGAUGGAGACUACCGUACAGAGCACACCGAGAAUUUAAACUGGCUCAUUGUGAAAUAUCUGUUGGAUAGAAUUUAUCACAGCUUGGACUCUGAUGAUCCUCCAAGUGAUCAUGUCGACCAGGCAUCUUGUAAAUCCAUGAUAAUCAGGCAUAUGGUUAAGGAAACAGACUUGAUCAUAAAGGACCUCAUGGGUAGAUUGUGUGCAUCCAAUGAGGAAUCCAAGAAAGUAGCUGGCGACAACCCAGUUCAGCCCAAAGAGCCUUCAGAUGCUGAAAAAGAGAUGCAGAAAAAACCUGCUGAGCCAAAAUUGGAGCUAAAAGUCUGCACCUGAACGAUCAUUCUGUUUGAUGAGCUGCAGAUGUAAUCAUCCUCACCUGUUUCUGCCUCAUGGCGGCUUCCUCGAGUGUCAUCCAUCAUCGUCCUCUAACCUCGGCUGACUGACAGCUGCUACGCCCUCUGAGUGGGGAAGUCUUGGCUCUGCGACCGUAUAUGGAGUGAGAAGAGACACACACACACCGUUUGGGAUAUGAAGUCAGUGUCAAGCUUUCAUGGUUUAACAGAACAACAGCUGAUGAUGUCAUCGUCUCCUCAUGCUUCAACUUGCAUGUCUGAGAAGCAGGAACUAGGAUCUUAUUUCACACACAGCUAAUCAUCUACAUACAGCAACGUAGCAGGAAAAAUAAAGAGGAAUACAUUCCUGCCAAAAAUUCAGAAAUAUUUAGAUUCAUCUUAGAAAUCUUCUAUAAAUGGGCGUGCCGUGGAGGUGUAGGGGAUGG